AGCUCCAAUAGCGUAUAUUAAAGUUGUUGCGGUUAAAAAGCUCGUAGUUGGAUUUCUGUCGGUGAGGUGCAGUCCGGCCUUUGUGUUGUGUACUUGUACCGCCACCGGCAUCUUCCUAGGGACUGUGUCUGCUCUUCAUUGAGUGGCGCAUAAUCUAGGACUUUUACUUUGAGGAAAUAGGAGUGUUUCAAGCAGGCAUGCGCCGUGAACACGUUAGCAUGGAAUAAUAGCAUCGGACCUCGCUCCAAAGCUGUUGGUUUCUUGGAACGAGGUAAAGGUGAAUAGGGAUUGUUGGGGGCAUUCGUAUUUAACUGUCAGAGGUGAAAUUCUUGGAUUUGUUGAAGACGGACUACUGCGAAAGCAUCUGCCAAAGAUGUUCUCAUUGAUCAAGAACGAAAGU
rnacentral:rRNA from 1 species